rfam:Trichosporon asahii var. asahii CBS 8904 unplaced genomic scaffold scaffold00049, whole genome shotgun sequence.
GGCAAGAUGGCCGAGCGGUCUAAGGCGCUGUGUUCAGGUCCCUCUCCGAUCUCCAUCGGAGCUGAUUCCAAUUCGCAGUCUUCGGGCGUGGGUUCGAAUCCCACUCUUGUCA